GUUCGGUUAAGUCCGGCAACGAGCGCAACCCACACUUCUAGUUGCCAGCAUUCAGUUGGGCACUCUAGAAGAACUGCCGAUGAUAAGUCGGAGGAAGGUGUGGAUGACGUCAAGUUCUCAUGGCCCUUACGGGUUGGGCUACACACGUGCUACAAUGGUGGUGACAAUGGGUUAAUCCCCAAAAGCCAUCUCAGUUCGGAUUGGGGUCUGCAACUCGACCCCAUGAAGUCGGAAUCGCUAGUAAUCGCGUAACAGCAUGACGCGGUGAAUACGUUCCCGGGCCUUGUACACACCGCCCGUCACACCAUGGGAGUUGGGUUCACCCGAAGGCGGUGCGCCAACCUCGCAAGAGGGGGCAGCCGACCACGGUGGGCUCAGCGACUGGGGUGAAGUCGUAACAAGGUAGCCGUAGGGGAACCUGCGGCUGGAUCACCUCCUUU
rnacentral:rRNA from 1 species